GACGAACGCUGGCGGCGUGCUUAACACAUGCAAGUCGAACGGAAAGGCCCCUUUGGGGGUCCUCGAGUGGCGAACGGGUGAGUAACACGUGAGUAACCUGCCCUUGACUUCGGGAUAACUUCAGGAAACUGGGGCUAAUACCGGGUAGGAAUCCUUGCUGCAUGGUGGGGGUUGGAAAGCUUCGGCGGUUUUGGAUGGACUCGCGGCUUAUCAGCUUGUUGGUGGGGUAGUGGCUUACCAAGGCUUUGACGGGUAGCCGGCCUGAGAGGGCGACCGGCCACAUUGGGACUGAGAUACGGCCCAGACUCCUACGGGAGGCAGCAGUGGGGAAUAUUGCACAAUGGGCGGAAGCCUGAUGCAGCAACGCCGCGUGCGGGAUGACGGCCUUCGGGUUGUAAACCGCUUUCAGCAGGGGCGAAGCUUGUGGUGACGGUACCUGCAGAAGAAGCACCGGCUAACUACGUG
rnacentral:rRNA from 1 species